rnacentral:misc_RNA from 1 species
GAUGAAGAACGUAGUGAAAUGCGAUACUUGGUGUGAAUUGCAGAAUCCCGUGAACCAUCGAGUCUUUGAACGCAAGUUGCGCCCGAAGCCGUCAGGCCGAGGGCACGCCUGCCUGGGCGUCACACGCCGUUGCCCCCCCCGCGCCCCGCACCCAACUCUUUGGGAGCGACCGCGGGGCGGGCUGAUGAUGGCCUCCCGUGCGCUCCGCCGCGCGGUUGGCCCAAAUACCGAGUCCCCGGCGACGUGCGCCACGACGAUCGGUGGUUGAGAGACCUCUGUCGCAAGUCGUGCGCGCCCGUCGCGUCACGCGGGCUCGCAUAGCGCCUCGCGCCGCACCCGGUGCGGAGCUUUCAACGCGACCCCAGGUCAGGCGGGGUUACCCGCUGAAUUUAAGCAUAUCAAUAAGCGGAGGA